rnacentral:lncRNA from 1 species
UAUUCUUAUCUUUAUUACUUGUCAUUUAAUGUUUACUUUUAGCUCUUAGCUAUUCUUUACUUGUACCUUUCUUUACUUAUCAGCUAUUCUUAUUCCUUAGCCUAUUGUUGUUUACUUAUCUUUAUUCUUUACACUUUGUCGCACUUUUCUACUGGUCAAUUCUUUCUAAGUUUUCUUACCUUAGUUUCUAUGCCACCGAAUCGGUCUUGAGUCAAUCAUCGCGGUAGUCCGCGCACUGUCUAGCUCGAGGUAAGGAACUCUCACAUGCACCUCAGCUAACAACAGCUCACGUACUCCUGUCCUAGCCGUCUAGCGGCAAACGAAUCGCACCUCAACCAACAACAGCUUAGGUUCCAUGACUUAGCCACCGACGGCAAAAUCGUCGCACAACCCACGACAGUGGUUGAGUCAACAGGCGGGUUAGGAUCCACAAACUGGCUAACCAUCCGGCGGCGAAAUGUCGCACACGCCACGACAAUGGUUCUUGUAGCCGUUGGGCGGCGAAAAUCGUCGCACACACCCGACAACACUUUGGGUGUAUCCUUUUAGCCUUGGAUUCCGGAAUCCAUUUCACAUCACAUAGGGCGUUGGUCUUAACCUAUGGAACUGACCUCUCUAGUCGUAAGCCUUUACUCAACCUAAGUUCACCCAUCUAGAUUUUAUUACUUUCACAUUCUUAACUAGGUUUAUUACACUAGGAUCAUUAUUCUUUCCAAUCUAGGUUCACUUGACUCUAGGCUAGUACUUUUCUUUCACGAACUAUGUUUAUUAACACUAGGUUAGAUGCACUCGAUCUAUUUCAUUCUAGGUCUAUCACGACCUAUGUUCCCUUAACACUAAGUUAAAUGCCACUCGAUCUAAUUACAUACUUAAUUGUCCAAUUAAGCAUUCUACUAUUUCUAGAGUUAUCAAUCUUAUUUUCCAAUGUUAUUUCUCUAUUCAAGCUAGAGUUAUCAACCAAGUUCAUAUGCAAAUAUAAUCUCACAUGCUAAGCAUGAUCUAUGUUGCAUAAUGCUAAUCAUGCGUUUAUAAUCUCAUAUAUCAUUUAUAUGCAUCUACUUAGCAUUUACAUUACAUACUAUAACAUGCAUAUAACUUGCUCAUUAUGCAUUCUAGCAUUUUACAUUACAUUAUUUAGCAUUAUGUAACUUGUUCAUAAUGCAUUCUAGUUUUCUUACUUAUUUAGCAUUAUGGUAACUUGCUCUAAUGCAUUCUAUUGCAUUUACAUCAUACUAUCAACAUGCAUUAUUUAGCUACAUGACUCAUUUACAUGCUUCAUUUAUAUUUAUAUGCAUCAACAUGGAUUCUUAGUUUUCGACAUAAAGGGACCUAGUGCUUCGGUAAACACAACCCACCUUAAUUUGCGUUCGAUUGCUUGUCGACACUAGCAAUCAGCUCCGCGCGACCCGUAUCGGCACGCGCGAUACUGCAACUGCGCUCAACGGCUCCGCUUCGCAGCCCCCGAAAAUUAUAGGUCUUCGCGUUAUGUGCCACGAUGCUCAAAUCCAUUUUCAUGAUUUUACGACGUCGCCUCGGCCCUUCCGGGCCGACCCGAGCCUAAACGUCUAUUUCUUUAAUAACUUUGUAAGGCUCAUCGGAUCCGAACUCUUUGCCAACGCGUUUCGUUACUCAGCAAUUAGGUUUACGAAGGGUCAAUGAGAUCAAACCUCAUAUUUGUGAAAGUUUGCAUUUUGAAGCCUAGGUUACAACUAUGCAAGAAAUCACUAAAUUGAUCCAUGAUUCAAGCAUUAAUUCAUUAGAUAGCAUCUAGGACUCUCUAAUCCAUUUUAGUUAUUUAAACCAAGUAUUAAAGAUCAUUCCAUGUAAGGGCUCAGGCUCACCUUAAAAUGAGCUCCAACCAUGGAGAGAUGAAGAGACGAAGCGCAUCCACUCCACGCUUCAAUCUCCACAAUCCAUUCUUUUUGGGAGAGAUGUUAGAGAGAGAAAGAGAGGCUUUCUUCUUCCCUUCCAUGCGCGUGUGUGUGUGUGUGCCGUAUUGGGCUGUACGGCUGGAGGAAGAAGAAAGCAAAAAGGAUUUAUCCCAUUUUACCCUAAUUUGCCUUCAACUACACACUAUUCACUUACGGGCAGCCUGAAUCUGAUAUAAAUUUCGUUGCGAGCCGCUCCGGAUGUCCACUUUCGCAUCAUUAAUUGCAAGCAGGCUCAUGUUUAAACGUACUGGAGCAAGAAUAAAUCUUAAGUUUUCAGUUGCGACCUCCGUUUUGUCACCGAAACCGUGCCGAACUCAAUCUUUUCAGAUAGCUUUCGGAUUUUAUUUCUCACUCUACGGGUGUCAGAAAAAUAUGAAACUUUAAAUCUAGCCUCAUAAAAAUAUUUCUGACAUCCCCGCUAAUUUUCAUAAUUUUCUGAGACUACAUUUUCUGCUAAUUUAUCAGUCCCGUUUCCAACAGAAAAUUCUAAAUCUUCUGUUUUCGCUCCGAUUUCAGCACAGGUCGUUCCCAACCGAUAUUUCACUUCUCUAAAUCCAAUAAAAUAGUAUCUCAUACUAUUUUUAUUUAUUUUUUUCUUUUAUAUUUAAAAUUCGGCAUGUUACAUAUAUACCUGCUAGUGACAAGUCCCUGUUAUAAAAAGAAGCUACAGCCAUAGAGGUGCCGAGAUAUAUCUAUAGUGCUGAAGGACACACCCAUAUAUCUGCCAGUGAUAUAGCUACUUUUAUAGGGUAAGACCUGAUUUUGCACGUUAUAGCACAAUAUGGGACAGUUAUAGAGUUGUACGAUACAAUUGAAGCUUUGUAAAGCACACCCAUAUACCCACCAGAGAUACGACCCUCUUAUCAAAAGAAGCAACAGCUAUAGGCGUGCCAAGAUACAUUUAUAGUGCUAAAGGGAACAUCCAUAUAUCUGCCAGUGAUAUGUCCACUUUUAUGGGGUAGGACAUGAAAGCAUGUUAUAGCGCAAUACGGGACUGUUAUAGGGGCAAUUUCGUACACUUGAAGCUUUGUAUGGCACACCCAUGUACCUACCAGUGAUAAGUGCCUAUUAUAAAAAGGAGCUACAGCUAUAGAGGUGCCGAGAUACAUCUAUAGUGCUGAAGGGUACAUCUAUAUAUCUGCCAGUAAUAUGUCUACUUUUAUAGGGUAGGACCUGAUUUUGCACGUUAUAGCGCAAUAUGGGAUAGUUAUAGGGCUGUACGGUACAAUUGAAGCUUUGUAAGGCACACCAAUAUACCCACCAGAGAUACGACGCUCUUAUCAAAAGGAGCCACAGCUAUAGGCGUAUCAAAAUACAUUUAUAGUGCUGAAGGGAACGCCCAUAUAUCUGCCAGUGAUAUGUCCAUUUUUAUAGGGGGAUCUGAUUUUGCACGUUAUAGCGCAAUACGGGACAGUUAUAGGCUAUUUUCGUACAAUUGAAGCUUUGUAUGGCACACCCAUAUACCCACUAGAGAUAUGACCCUCUUAUCAAAAAAAGCCACAGCAAUAGGCGUGUCAAGAUACAUUUAUAGUGCUGAAGGAAACACUCAUAUAUCUGCCAUUGAAAUGUCUAUUUUUAUAGGGUAGUACCUGAUUUUGCACGUUAUAGCGCAAUACAGGACUGUUAUAGGAUAUUUUCGUACACUUGAAGCUUUGUAUGGCACACCCAUAUACUUGCCAGUGAUAAGUCCCUGUUAUAAAAUGGAAUUACAGCUAUAGGGGUGCCGUGGUAUAUCUAUAGUGCUGAAGGGCACACCCAUAUAUCUGCCAAUGAUAUAUCUACUUUUAUAGGGUAGGACCUGAUUUUGCACGUUAUAGCGCAAUAUUGGACAGUUAUAGCGCUGUACGGUACAAUUAAAGCUAUACAGUAAGGAUUAAGCAUAAUACAAUAUAACAAAUAUGGUAAACCUUGAAAUAGUGUACAUAUGGAUGAACCUACUAUGUACCAGAUUAUGAACCAUUCACACAAAAAUUCAAUGUUUAUAUAAACUGAAUGGCAUGGCUCUCCAAGCAACUCGCCAACGUCUUUACAAAAUGUUUCACGAAAUAGAUACCUCAGGCUGCACAUUGUUACACUACAUAAUACAGUUCAUUACAGUUACAACCAAUCAAUCAUAUAAUAUCCACACAUCAUCUUUUGGGACAGCAAACUCGAUCAUAGAAUUGUAGGUCACACAACAUAGAUCCUUUAAUAUCGCACUGACCAUAUGCACACGGAAACAAUGGGGCUCAUUCUCGUACAAUAGUAGAUCGGGUUGGCCAUUCCUUAUGAGUCGUUCAGCAAAAAGGCAUGUGUACAUGGCACAAUCAACUUCAGUAAAACCCUGUUGUUGACAUUGUAGGCAAAAUACGACGUUAGGAGCGCCGACGCGUAUUUGGAGGAUGUGCUCAAAAUAAGAUGAAAACCACUUCGCCUACAUAAGAGAAGUAAGUAAAUAAAUUGAAUGAGUGAAUAAUAGAUGUUAUUGGCGAGUGAAUAAAUAACAAAACCACUUUGUCUACUGUGAAGAAUAAAAUCAAUACCAGCAGCUGUGCUGCGUCCUUUGCCACAAUAUGACUGCACGAACCAAAAUUAAAACCUGAUAAGAGUGUUCUAUUAUGCCAUGAGAGUGUCCUAUUAUGCCAAAAAUAAUUAAUACUUGAAAGAGUAUUCUAUUAAACUCUAAAAGUGUUCUAUUAUGGCAUAAGAGUGUAAGAUUGCAACGCAUACGUGUUCGCAACGCUAAAUCUGAUAAGAGUGUUCUAUUAAGCCCUAAGAGUGUUCUAUUAUGGCAUAAGAGUGUAAAAUUGCAACACAUAUAUGUUCGCAAUCCUAAACCUGAUAAGAGUAUUUUAUUAUGCCCUAAGAGUGUUCUAUUAUGGCAUAAGAGUGUCAGAUUGCAACAUAUAACUCUCUAUUUACAGAAUUCCGAUCAAAUCAAUCCCUAAACAUAUGAGCUUAACGCAUGUAUUACAAGGAGCACUAUAUACCUACUGUCCCUCUACCCAAAAUGGACACUAUGCGAAUGUUAAGAAAGAUAGCCGAGAGGAAGGGUAUGAUUAGCGCACCAGUUUGAGGGAGAGCAAGAGUAGUGAGGAAUGGGCUCCCGGAUCCUAUGGUGGAAGGAUAACACUCUCCCCCAGGUGGACAGCUAAAUCGCAGACCCUAAACCUGAUAAGAGUCUUCUAUUAUGCCCUAAAAGUAUUCUAUUAUGGCAUAAGAGUGUCAGAUUGCAACGCAUAUAUGUUCGCAACCCCAAACCUGAUAAGAGUUUUCUAUUAUUGCCAAAGAGUAUUCAAUUAUGGCAUACGAGUGUCAAAUUGCAACGCAUAUAUGUUCGCAUUAAACCAUAUAUGUGUUUGUGAACUGUGCUAUACAAGUAGCAAUACUACAAAUACAAACAAAAUAAUCAUUAAUAAGAGUAUACAAGUAUGAUAUUUCGUUUCAAGCAGUAUAGCAAACUAACUCCUAAAACCACAUAGCACCGUUCUACCAAUCCAUAAGAGAAUAUACUAGCAAUUAAUACAUAUUUUCUACACCUUUUUCCCAUUCAAACAAAAUAAAACUUAAUCAUAUGCAUAAUUUGUAUAUUUGUAAUGAAUACAUGUUUUCUAUCCUAAACCGAACAAAAUUUAAUAAAAUGCGUGAAGUAUACGUGUGUGACUAUGAAAGCAACUUCUAAACCCUAAACCCUAAUCCUAACCCUAAACCCUUUAUUUUUAUAAAUACAACCAAAAAUAAAAUAUACCAGCAGUGUUCUAAAAUUAAAUGAAUCUGCUAGUCGGUGACGAAGUCCGCAGCAUGCAAAGGCAAAGCGAAACUGGAACCCUAAACCCUCAAAAUAGAAAUUUCAUAUUGAACAAAAAAUUAAAAGAAAAAUAUUAUAGGAAUUAAAAUAUUCCCCUGUUUGGGUUGAGUCCUUUGUUUGGGUUGUGGCCGAGAGGUCCGAAAUCGCCCCUAAUUUCAGCCGUCCAUAAGCAAAUGAACAAGUGGCAGGCCCUGGGAUGGACAGGGGAGCGGUGUGGAGAGUCGUACAAGCGAUUGAGAGGCGACCUCCUACCAAUGGAGAGAGGCGAGGGCGAAAGGGAGCUCCAAGACGGCAUGGAACAGGAUUUCCUACAGAGCGCAACAAUGUGUGGAAUAAAAGCACUCCCUGCCGAGCUCCUACCCGAUGGAGAGAAGCGAGAGCGAGAGAGAGGCGAGAGCACUAGAGCAAGAGAGAGGCGAGAUCGCGAGAGCGAGAGCGAGACGCGGCUGCGAGAGAGAGAAAAAGAGAGGGCGAAUGCUUCGCAUUGAAGGAAAACGAGGGGGUGAAGUUAUAUCUCACUUUUAAUCAAUAUUAAAUCUCAACCACUGAAUUAAUGGUUGUAGGAUGUACACCCCUAAUGGGGGAGUACAGGUAGACUUUUCCUUUUAAAAAAGAAUUUGAGUAUUUAAAAUAAAACUAGAGUGCAAAGUGGGUGCUACAGGUGAACUUACCCUUAUAAGCAUUUUCCUUUGAAAAAAUAUUUAAGUUGGCAUCGAGGAAUUUUAACUUUGGCCAAUUUGCAUAAAAAAUCCACUAGUUUUGUGCUUUUGCAAAAGUGGGCCACCUUUUUCGAUUUUACAGAUUUGAGCCGGAUUUUUAGCAAACUAAUCAAAAUACCUUUAUUUUUUUUCUCUCUCCUCUUUUUUUUUUUCUCUUGUUCUUUUUUUUUCUCUCUCCAAAGAAGGCAGCUGUAGUGCCCCUGGUGUUUAGCAGUCUGUGUGAUUUCAGUAUCUGUAGCUUAUCGACACAUCUGGUGGGAUGUCGAGACAAAUCGGAGUCGUUUUGGCACGAAAUAGACGUAAAACGGACUCAAUGUAGUGCAGGAGUGGAGUUCUGACACUGAAAUCUGCAAAGUGCAGGAUUUCAGUGUUGAGUAUCGGUACCUGAGGAUAAGUACCAGUACCCCAGUGAGAUUGCAGAAUUGGAUGCUCUCGGGUUUGCGUAUAUCUGAUGCCGAGUACCGGUACCUAUUGUCGAGUACUGGUAUCGAGCUCGAGUACCUGUAUUGCAUCGGGAUGGUAUCGGUACCCAAUGUGUGAGAAUGCUGGUUGAGGGCCGCGUACCGGUAUCCAAGUGGGGUACCGGUACUCCAGCUGGAAAAAUGAGUUGGUAAGGGGUAGUUUGGUCUUUUGAAGUGUCGUUCAUUCCAAUAUUAACCCAGCCUAUUUAUAUGCAUAGGGUGUUUAGGGAGGGGGAUGUUGCUUUUUUUCUUCUCUCUCUUUUGCUGGUGGUUGCCGUGCGUCGGGAAAGUUGAGGCUCGAGCUCGUUCGGAUUCGACGUUCCUCCGGAGGACCGUUCGUGCACGUGAGAGUCGCGGUUGCGCCAUUGGAGAUCAGGCGAACGCGUGGGUUCUCUUUUAUCGACUUUUAGCCGACAUUGGAAGAGUAAUCGAGGUGGGUUGAUGUUUACCGAAAUCGUCGGAUUUCCUCCUUAAGUCGGAGUUUUGUCAGUAUAUAUGGUUUUAUGUAUAGCAUCAUGCUUAGUAGCUCAAUUUAUCGAUUUGCAUAGUUUUUAUGGAAUCUAAAUUUGGAGCCUUAAUUUAGAAUCUUUUUACAUGUUAAACUGGGAAUUGACUUAGGAGAAAACAUGUUAAAUCCUACACUGUCAUUUUCUGAAAAGUUACCAAAUUUAGCUUUAGGAGCUGUGGUUCUUUUAUAUCCUCGCUGUUAGUGCGUAUUGAAUACUCAAACUAGUGUAGGAUGAGCUUACGCUCGUGCUUGGAGGCCGAGCUCGUUUUACAGUAAUGUGUAGGCUAUUUCGUACUAUCGGGUGCUGUCGCGGUUGACGGUGGACCCAAAUUUCUAUAUUUUGCAUUAGAUUAUGCCAAGGGCACGUGAGCUUUGGUUGUUAGACCAGUUAGACCCAUUUGCAUUGACUACAGUCUGUGACAGUCUGAUUGAGCUCGGCAUAGACACGCUUGCAUAGUCGGUUGGGUUGCGCCCACGAGUGCCGCUCCGGAGUCUGGCUACCUUGCAUUAAUGUCGUAGUAGUCCGGUUUGGACUUUGCUCUCCACCGACCGCCCUCAGGGUGGUGUACGGUGUAGCUUAGACAGGCGGGACGAUCGUAUCGUAGUCCCUAGUGAGAUUGGGUCUGUGUGAUGCAUGUUUUUAUCUACAGAUAGCUUGUGUUGGUUAGCGAUAGCAUAGUAUCAUGUAGCUAUAGAGUUUUUCCAGCUUUCAUUACUAUCCUUUGCACAUAUUUCUGUAGACUUGGUGGGUGAGCCGAGUCGCAAACCUUAUAUGCUAUCACAUACGAUGACAAUCAAAGCCAACAACUAGGUUCAAGUCACUCAACACUAUGCUUCCGAACCUCCCGGCAAACAGACUGAGACUACUAACCAAACAAACCUUUUAGUUGUAACAGGUACAACUAAAGAGCUAACAAGCACCCAGACUCGAACUAACAUCAGAACCAUCAGCAAUGACGAUAAGUCCACUGCACAAAACCUGCCAGGGAAUAAUCCAAGACUCGCUACAUGGUCAAAGAUGACCAUCACUUAAGCUUUCUCAUAAGACAAGCUAGAGCAAAUACUCACCCAAUCCAAAAGUCCCGAAGCAAGGAAAGGGUAUUUCGCCCCACUUUCGACAGUAUAUUGUCUGCAGCCAAUGUACUUAUCAAAAGAAAGCGAAAUAUCCGAAAAUCUACUACCAACAACAAGUUGGAAGCGCGACAGGUCAAAGUAUCAAGUCACCUGAUACCUCUUAACUGAACCAAGAGUUCACAACCAUUACUGGCAAAACAUCGACUUUACAAGUCAACAUUCGAAAUCAGAACGACCCUGAACCGACACAUAGGGAGUCCUAUAACUUUCAACAUCCGAAAGCUGCUAGCGACAAUAAGCCGCGAAUCGCACAAACUGAGGCUUUAUGAAACGAUUUCUCUAACUUAUUUCCGCGCUACAACCGAGCGAUAACUAAAGCUACGAGAACUCUGACAAUACCCUGAAGUAUAUAUCUCGAGUUGAAACGAGCCUUAUCACAAACCACAGACUAACCCACAUCACACCAUUUAGGUGUUAGAACAGCCGCAUAUGAUGUAUGCAUCAACAAAGGCCUAACACCAAAACUGUGUCAAUCCGAUUCUAUUACACAUCCAUUUGACGAAAGAACUAGAUAAAGGUCAAAAGACCCAAACCGCUGAUUCCAAUCGGCAAACGAGGAGGAAAAGUAGGCAUCACAACCCUACCCAAGGAUCUGCGGAGGUAACACUAACUAUGUAGUCGCCUAAACGACCGCUAACAAAACCUUAGGCUACACCAUAGUAGCCUUAUCGAAGUCGUGAAUGUAGCUGAUCACAGUGCCGUCUCCGUGGUGACACUCGCAAUAGCUCUCGUGUUCUAAGUAGGGAAAGUGGCUUGGGCGUCGGCAGUUAAGACACUCGCCUCGGCCCGAAGAUCACCUGGCCCUUCAAGGCCACACCUGACAGGAGUGGCAACACCUGGGGAACACCGCCCUACCACUAGAUGUCCAAAAAGAAGCACCGCCACUACUCCCGACUGAAACAUCAGCUUGUGCGAAAAUCGUAGUACAUUAGGAAAUAACCGUGCAUUCGAGUUUACCAAUCUCAACAUGCACACCAAGACUCAAGCCCAAACCCCGCACUCACGUGCCUAUAUACCGUAGGUCUUCCUAUGGUUCAACCUAACCGAUGGUUCAGUUUCAUUUACUUUAAAAACAACCUGUGAAUGGUGUUGUGGUUGUAACUUAUCUCUGAUACCACUUUAAUCUGUCACGCCCCGGGGUCCUUGUUAGAUUGAAAGUACAGCGGAAGUGACUAAAUUUUUUUUUUUUUGAAAACCUGACCCCAGCAUAUGCGAGAUCCGCCACAAAUACAGAAAAUCCACUGUUCACACGGACAGAGUCUUCCCUGUAUUUGUAAGGCAUCGUGCAAGUACAAGAUGUGCAAACAGAGUAUAACCAGAAUACAACCACAAUACAUGAAUAGACAAUUCUCAACAUUCAUUCACCAUUCACCAAAUAUUUACCAUUCAGUGUUUAAAUAUAAAAAAACUACAAGAAAAACUCUUUUGAAAGCUAUUUUCCAUACGGAAACUCUUUUCUUUUUAAAACGCUACCACGAGGGGUAGAAAACUAUUUUUUCCUUUUCACAAAAUUCACAAGUUCUAUAGUUCAUUCAAAACCACAUAAAUUCGAAUAACAUCAACCAACUGAACCAUGAAAUAUCAAAGCUAUUAAUAACACAAGUAAACAGGGUAGGAACUAAACCAACAAGCCAGGCCGGAAGCUCUAGCGACCACUACGAACGUGUCGCACGUCUCGUCUCUACUGUCACCGCCUGUGAUACCUGAAAAAUGGUGGGGGAGGUGAGAACAUGUAAACAUAUCUCCCUUCCCAGUGGGUGCCGCAAGCCGAAGAAGGCGAGGAGUACUCACCGGAUCAGAAAGAGAUAUAUAACAAUAUGGUAAACAAAUACUGAUGCUGAUAUAAAGGAACUACAGUAGCUAUAACAGAUAAAGAGGAAGCAAUAAACAAAACUGCUACUGUAAGGAAUGCAAAGCCGAGUAAGCCUCAAGGUAACAAAACCAAAACUGUACCCAAUCUGAUGCUGCUAUAUUGGUCCGCAGACCUCAAGCGUUGCCUGUCACAGAGCAGACGCUGCCAACUUAUUCAUGCGUCACCGACGACCUAUCCAGAUACGUACACCCCUUGGUUGGUAGCCAAACCAACCUGGUGUCUAGAAUACACAGUGCUGUGACUAAGUCAUGCUGGUAUGCUCAAUACGAAAACCGGCUGAAGCCGGUGCCUAGGCCGAAGCCAGAAACAAAGGCGUACAACGUCGAACCACGAUCAACCAGAUCGAAACACAUGACAAAAGAGUCGAUGUGUUGCCUAGACCCAAAGUCCACAGAGUCCAAUCGACCAACAAGGCCACUGAUACGAAGUACGAGAACCGACCAAUCAGGUCAACAGAUAUGCAUAUAGAUAGAACUACUAUACUCCUACUCAGAAUACUAAGCAUGCAAACAACAAGUAGAGUAUACUGGAAUAAUCAUGGGUGCAAGGCUCAAUAUAUACUAUGCAAUAGUAACAAUAGAAGAGUAAGGGUAAGAAACCAUCACCGAGCGUGCACCACUGUACCAACGUCGGAUUGAAGUACCCACCUAUAAGGAUGUCGCGUCUGUCUCCUUACUGCAAAAGAAUGUCAACCGGACCUAAGGAAGGUCCACCGGGUUAGUGUCUAACCCACCACUAAUAACCACUGACUCCACAUCCCACAGACUAAUCCCACGGAAAUGGGUUUCCCAAAACCGGCUACCAUAACUCGUCGGAAGUCCCGAAAAUCGCACGGGAAAUCCCCCCGGGACCCACGAACUGUCCCGGAACACACCGACUUGUGCUACGAGUCACCCGCUGCCACUAAACAUAAAUAAUCAUGCAUCAUGGCAGCAAACACAACUCCUCACGUCGAAGCAAUUAUCGUCGGAUAAUCGUUUCGAUUCGGGUUCCCGGAAGUGUCUAAUUCGACACCGGAACCCACCGUCGCUCACCCGUCAUUUCUGAACUCUCAAAAUGACGCGAGUGACCAGCCAACAAGGCUCAGUGACUACACAAUAGCUCACGAAGCACCGUCGGAAUAAUUCCGAACCGAACCAGCAUUUCGUCGACUGAUUUCGCCGAGAAACGAGCCGGAAAUCACUUUUCUAUUUCCGCAAGGGCUUGGGGUCUUGGACAAUCAGUCCAGGGGUUACCCACAGCCUGUACACGCUGCCCACAACGACCACAACAAACAAGAUUGCAUCAAAGCCCUCCCGACUACCCGAAAUCACAUUAUUUUAUGUGAUUUCGACGUUUUUAUGGUCCGACUACGCAAACCGGAAGUCAAUCAGCCAAGCCGAGACACCCGCUGACAGGUCUCGGCGUGCCGGAGGCUGUGCUCACCUUUCGGAGCACUGCUGUCCACUGGGGUAAUCGCACAAGCGACGCGAAGAUCUGUGAAACAGCGCGUACAGUGCCAAGAUCGCAAUUAACUCGCUAACCAGGACAUCAUUUACUCUAACGGAGGUGAGCACGAUGUUCAGAAUGAACCCAGGGUCAUCGUGCUCACUUCCCCAUUUAUCAGAGAGCCCUUGGAUCACCGGAAAGGCAAUCGGAACCCCAGAACAGUGCACAGGAAUUUAAAUGCAGCCUAACCUAAGCAGUAGAGCUAGGGUUGGUCGCCGGCGGCCGGACGGCGGGCGGCCCGGCCAGGGGAGGGUGCGGCCGGUCGGUGGGGUCCGGGGCACCAGCUCGCCGGCGGCGGGAGGCUGCCAGUGGUGCGGCGGAGGAGAUCAACUCCACCUAGCUACUCUCGGGUUCAAUAUCUGCGGCGGCCACGCGAUGGUCGGAGAAGCUUGGGACGGCAACGACCUGUCGCAGGAGGCCGAGGGGAAGGCGGCGCGCACAGCCUAGGGCGGCGGCGGCGCACGAAGGCAGUGCGGGUCCAAGCUUGGCCUGCACGCGCUCCAGAUGGCCGCAGAGAGAUCCGGCGGUGGCCGGCGGCGCGCGGGGACGGCGAAGAGGCGCGCGGGAGGUCGCCGGAGGUCACCGGAGGGCGGCGCGACCGAUGGGGAACGGCGGCAGCACACGGGAGCAGAGAUCACCCAGGCUCGGCCUGGGUGACUGCAGGUUGGCCGCAGAGAGCAAGGCGGCUCCGGCGGCGCACGGGGAUGGCCAGGGCCGACGAAGGAGAUGGCGGAGAUGGGUCUCGGCCAGGGGACAAUGGCGCUCGAGCUAGGGUGGCUUCCUGGGUCCGCAACCACAGUGCGGUGAAGUGGUUGGCCGAGAGGAAAAGAGAGAGGUGAUGCAGGGAUUUCCAGCGGCCGGGGGUGCUCGCCGGCGGCCGGAGCAUGCGCACGGGGAAGGCAAGAAUCAGCUGAGGCGGCUGGUGGACUAGGGUUAGCUGGAAUGACUUAGGGUUAGGGUUUCACCUCGAAACCCUAAAGCAAUGUAUAUAUACAUAGCGCAAGCUUGCAGAAAACCCCCUCUAGUCUAAUAGUUUUCGACCAAGCCCCCUGCCAACAUGUGCACCUUGCAUAUAAGUCCCUUGACGUUUGAAUUUACGCAAAGUGGCGCAUAAAAUAUUAGGUUUCUUCGCAAUUUAUCCGUUUUGCCAAUUUGACCUCUCAGCGAAGAUCUCACAAUUCCCGAAGAUCCGUCUACCAGAUUUCCGAACGGAUCAUGCCAACGCGUUCAACACGACUGGAGCAUCGAAUCUAGUAUCUUGUUUCAUCCGAUUUGGUCUCUGAUUCACGACGGAACCAGCCCUUUUUGCUUCCACCAAUAACCACAUAUUUUUUUCAUAUGUAAAACCAAACAAACCCCUUUUUCUCGACAACCGUGCAUCAGAACCCAAUUCCGUCAGUGCCAUUGGGUCCAGAAUAGUUGAGCCGUUCGAAACGAGCUAUUGGAGUCCUAUGUUUGUAGUCCAAUACGCACUAGAACCCUUCUCUACUCACUCAUUCGAAAAGCCGGAGUUACUAUUCACUUUAAGUCAUCGGUCCUGGUCGCGUAACUUCUCCAUUGUAACUCGUUUUCUCUUGAAACUUGACGAGUGUCUUUGUAAUUAAAUUACACACAGAAACAUCAUCAACAGAGAGUUUAGCUGCACUGCCAAAAUCUCAGUCCUUACAUAUGUACUAUGAACCUUAUGUUUUAUAUAUAUAUUCAUGUUCAGUAGCAGCUCGACACUCGGUUGUAGCUAUGAUUUGUUUACAGAUACAGCUAUCGCUUCGUAUAUACGAAAAAUUCCUAUAUAUACAACGGGUCUGUUGGCGUGCCCGGGGAACCGUGGUAAUCCGGGGCGUGACAGCAGCGGAGGCGGAGGCGGAAACAGCCCGCCUCGCCUCUGCUUCGCACGCCCUCGCCCUCUCCCUCGCCCUCACCCGUGCACCCCCGCCCUCCUCGCCUACGACCUUGCUGAGGCCGUGCCGCGACUGUCACGCCCCGGGACCGGCGGAGGCCCUCCCGGUAGCGUGCCCAGACCCGCCAUAUGUCUACACAUAUAAGGCGUCUACAAUAAAAGCGGAAGUAAAGGCAAGCAGUAGAACAAUAGGAGAAGUGAAAUAACUAACAACUAAUGAUAUCAGAGCGAGUAUAGUUCUACAUCUACACCAAAGGAAAGAAGUAAAGUUAGACAAUGAAAGGAGUCAUAAGUAGUACAAAAUCUAUCUCCAAAAUACAAAAGUGGUGGUCUCUAGUACACUGGUAAAACUCUCAACCUCUCGCAAAAAGAAAUAAAAAUCGAGAGGUAGACCACCUAGCAACUCGUCCUCGAAGGAAGCUAGCUCGAAGCAACUCCCUUCCCGCGAUCCCUGGCCUCACCCUGAGUGGAAGGCUCUGAAAAACAUCGAGAAAAAGAGGGCGUGAGAACUAUAAUUUAUAGUUCCCAGUGGGCAAUUACUGACCUCAGCUCAUGCUCCACUAGGCCCUAAAAAUAAGGGUAAGUAACGAUAAUAAUAAUAAUAAGCAAUAAGGAGCAUGUAAAUAAACUGCUGAAAGAAAGCAUAAUUGAAAUGCUAGUCUACUGUGUCUCAAGUAAGCAUGAUGUCAACCAAAAUGUACAUCUAUUCUAUCAUUACAAUUAAGUCCAAUGGCACUAGUUUAAUGUUGUUAACCUUUGUCAAUACAUGAUAUAGGAGUUCUAUCAUGGCAACCAAGUAUACUACAUGUCUCACACUAUGCUAAAAGCAUGUAAAUGUAAUCCAACUACUAAGCCUAUCUAGUAGUGAUCAUUCAUUCUCAAACCGUGUCGAUUUACAUUUCCAAUUAAGGAUCUACCCAAGGUAGUCCGGCUUGUGCCGCCUAAGUGCCUGUGGUAGCCCGACAUUCCUACCCAUGGAAUGUGUCUGUCCCACUCGACCCCGUAGGCGUCUCAAUACCGCACGAGCGAACAAAAGUCGCAUAGGCCAACUCCGGAGUGCCGGCUUGUGGGGAGCGACCCUCACAAGCAUGUGCGAAUGAGCACAAAUGGCAAACAAGCAAGGUCACUGUCUCAAGUACCCAAUCCUCAUGUCUCUAACAUGGUAUAGUCACUAGCAUCCCGAAGAUCUAGUUCAAAGUCAUAAUGUGAAGUCCCAACACACACUUGCUUAGUGCCUCUUUAUGACACUUAAGCUCCACAACUAAUCAUGUUCCAAUUAAGACAUUAACAUUAAUGCUCACUAUGCCCCGGGCCCCAAUGCCUCUUCAUGACAUUGGCCCAAUCUCACAUAUCAUCUAAGUCCCUAAGCCUCUCUAGGCUUCCAAAAAUCCCUAAUGUCACAUCUGGUAUAUAGUUUGAAUGCAUGAAAGCAAGGUUCGUUUUCAUAAUAGGGAUUAUAAUUUCAAGUCUCAACUAGAAUGCUAGGCCACACAUGCAUGCUCUCUACUAUAUAGAGGUCCCAAAAUUUACUACACAUAACCUAUGCAUGUUAAGCAUUCUAAAAUUCAUAAUAAAUACAUUUAACAUGAAAAUGCAAGAAUUUCAACUUUACGAAACAUUUAACACCAAAUAUGAGCAUUUCUCAUAUUGUAUGCUAGGCCAAACCCACCGAACCGUCGCGUGCUCCUUCGAUUCGUCGAACGGAGUUGUCCACGAGCCUCAAAAUACCCUAAAAGUGAUCAGCGAAAAGAUACGAGAGUAUUACGACCAACCAUAAGAUCAAACAUCAAUCUAGAAGCAAAAAGGGCCAAAAUUCACCUCAAGAGAAGAAAUCUCUUCUAAAGCUCCAAAAGAGAGCUAGAACCCUUCCAAUCCAAGCUCAAGGAAGGUUCUAAUCCAAUCAAUCUAGCCUCAAAAGCCCUAGAUUCAAAAAGCCCAAAAUAAACCCUAAGUCCCAAAACUAGGGUUUCAUAAGGUAAAACCUACCAAAUCAAGGAUCAAAUGGUAGAAUCCAAGUACUAACCUCCCAAGAUGCCUCCAAACAAGCUCCAAAUCUUCUAGGGUUGAAGAUUGGUCCACCACCAAGCUCUACAAGCAAGCUCCAAGCCAAGCAAGGGUGGAAAGGAGAGAAACGGGUUGAGCUCCAAGCUCCCUCAAGCAAAUUCCUCUUCUUCUUCUCCUUCUCCUCCUUCUUCUUCUUCUCUCUCUAGAAGGUGUUGAGAGGGGGUGAGAAUGAGGAAAUGAGAGAGAGAAGAGGAGGAACUGGCUAAUAAGCCCAUCUAAUGUAACAAAAUCCAGUGAGGCCCCUCAAAAAUCCAUUAUUGCAACAGCCCGGUCUGGGCAGUUUUCGCCCAGAGGGACCGGUCUCUCCCCAGCAGGGACCGGUCUCUCGCUGCGAACCCGAAAAUCCAACGUUCGGGAACCGGUCUCUCCCUACGCGGGACCGGUCUCUCACUGCGAAGACGCGCUCGGGGACCGGUCUCGCCUGCCAGGGACCGGUUGCCUCAGGCUGCCUCAACACUGCUCACUGGGGGACCGGUCUCUCCUUCCAGGGACCAGUCCCCGAGAGCAAAAACUCUCAGGACUUGUCCAGAAUUUCAGUUUUCGAACUUUUCAGGUCGGAAAACAUUCUACAACCCUCCACCAAGUGUGGGAAAGCUCGAAAUACAUCCAAACACUCGAACCUCGCAAUUUGCAAAGGUCCAGUGUGUUAGAGCGACCCUCCUUCUCCACUAGGCACGGCGACGUUGAGACGCAGUCUCUUUUCCUCCACCGCACGUCGGAACGCUGAGACGUCGUCGGAGGCAGCAAGAUCGCCUUCGACGACGUCGUGGUGGUUGCGAUAGAGAGCAAGGGAGAGGUGGUGACAAAAAAAAAUUAUAGAGAAAAAAAUAAGAAUAAUAAAAAAUAAAAAAUUUUCUACAGAAAAGAUCAAAAAAUAUAGAAGAAAGAAGAUGAUGAAAUUGCACUCUUAAAAUAAGAUUAUACUGUUUUUAAAAAAAUUGCAUUGUUUUAAUGAAAAUUGCAUUAUUUGAUAUAAAAAUUACAUUCUUUUGAAAUGAAUUUUACACUCUUUAAGCCAAAGUUGCAAUAUUUAUGAGAAUUUUGCACUAUUUCUUUUCCUUUUCUUUUUCUCUUUCUCUUCUUCUUCUUCAGCCGCGCUCUUUGUGAAACUGAAAAAAUUAAAAAUAUUGAAUUACAAAUACUACCUUAAUUAUGUCCUUAAUUGUCACGCCCCGGAUUACAUGUUCUCCGGGCACGCCGACAAAUCCGCCGUACACAAAGAAAUUUUUCCUGUAUACGAAGCAUAGCUGUACCUGUAACAAAUACAACACUACAACCAGUAGUAUAGAGCUGCCUGAAUAAAACUGGUAUAAACAGGGACAAGUUCCAUAUACAUACAUACGUCCAGGUAUACAAAAAUGCUCGCCCAGCGAGAUACAAUAAGUAUCCAUAAGAAACUCAAAAACUAGCACUAACUGCAGCCGGUAACCUCUCGAACAGCAGUAACUGGGAAGGGCUCUAACUGGCAACGCCCUUGCCACGAUCAGUCUCCGAGGAAGCAGCAGCCGGAACAGCAGGCUCUGCAAAAAUAAGGUAACAACUGGGCGUGAGAACUACUGUAAAAAUUAGUCCUCAAUGGGUGCCGCCCUCAACAUCGUCGGUCUACCCACCAAGUCUACAGAAGAGAGCAAAGAUAGUAGAAAAAUGUUGGAAGAAAAUCUACAGCUACAAGUCACUACACUAUCAUGCUCUACACUAACCAACUGUAGGAAAUGUCAAUUCUGACCCAAUCCAACUGGGACUGUAAACCUACCCGUCCCUGGGACUGUGAACACACCCGUCUCGCCCGGUUGCGACUAUACAGCUACCUCCACACUAAGCGGUCAAUGGAGAGCAAGUCCAACCUACACGAACGACACCAACGCGAAAGCACAAUGCCCGUCUCCGGAGUGGCACUCGUGGGAGCUACCCAACCGAGUAUGCAGCGUAUCUCUGUCGAGCUCAAACAGGCUCUCACAAGCCAAAGUCAAGUAACCGAAUCUAACUGGUCUAACAACCAACAGGUCACGUGCCUUCAACACAAUCCGAUGCCAAAACGGCGAUAUGGGUCCACCGUCAACCCCGACGACCCCCAACAGUCCGGAACAGUCUGAACACUACUGUAAAAAAACACUCGGUAUCCCAGCACUAGCGUAACUGAAAUCUAAACUAGCCGGGGUAUCCACCACACUGAUAUUGCAGCGAUACAAAAUAAUAACGGCUCCUAGAGCUAAAUCAGGUAGUUUAAGCAUGUGACAGGUUCAAAUCGCAGGUUUUCUCCUAGGUCAUAUCCAAGUCCAACAUGUGUAAAUCCUUAGUCACAAUACUAAACUCCAAUUCAGAUUCUACAGUUAAACAUGCCAAAAUCCAUGAAUCGAGCAAUUUCUAUCAACGAAACAACAUAACAACACAUAUCGACAAUCUAUAUACUUAGAAGACAAACUGACGAUUAACCCACCUCAAAAGCUAAUCCCAAUCCGGCGCGACGUCGAGAACGGCGGAAUCGCACCCUCGUCCGGCCUCCUCGCGAUGCUACGACGAUGAACGGCACCACGACGCGACGUCGGCAAAACUCCAACACCACCUGAGCUCCUCCUCCGCACGCUCGGAUCAAGUCUAAAGAGAGAGAGGAGAAGGAACAAGCCAAAGAACUCCCCUCAGCUUCCCUCUACGCAACUAAGUAGUAAGGGGAGGUGUGGGUGAUACAUACGAGGCCUAAAAAGACAAAUCUGCCCCUCACCUACCCCCGUGUACCGGUACACGGGCACUUGUACUGGUACAAAAGGCAACCCGAGAGCAGCUGCUCGCCAAUCAGGCGAAGUGUACAGGUACACCUCUGAUGCUGUACCGGUACAAAAAUUGUACCGGUACAACUCUGAUGUUGUACCGGUACAUCAAGCAGAAAAUCUGCAAUUCGCAGAUUCCAAUGCUAACUCCAGCUCUCGCGUCCCCGCUGAGUCCGUUUUGCGUCUAUUUCGCGCCAACGAGACUCGGACUUGUCCCGACAUUAAUAAUUUAUAGUACAAGUUACUAGUGAACAACGCUACGUCACUCUCCAAGGACGUCCCUAUCGACCCCAAUCCCGCUAUGGGCGUCCUCCAAGGGCAUCCCCAUCAACCCCGACUGUGGUGUCUCCGCACGGCUCUACCUCCCCGCCGGUGAGGCUGCAUCGGCGGCGACGGCGACGGUAAAGCGUCGCUACCGGCGAAGCUCCCGAUCGUCGUUUACUUCCACGGCGGCGCUUUUUGCAUCGAGUUGCCCUUCUCCCCGUAGUACCACCGCUACCUCACCUCCCUCGCCGCCACGGCAGGGUCGUCGCCGUCUUCGUCCACUACCGCCUCGCCCCUCAGCACCUGCUCCCUGCCGCCUACGACGACGCCUGGGCCGUGCUCAAAUGGGCCGCGUCCAACGCUGCCUCCGGCCCCAAGCCCUAGCUCGCUGCGCGUGGCGACCUCCGCCUCUUCCUCGCUUGCGAUAGUGCCGAAGCCAACAUCGCCCAUAGCGAAGGUAUAAUAAUCAAGAUUAAGGUAGUAUUUGUAAUUCAGUAUUUUUAAUUUUUCUUGUUUCACAAAGAGGGCGGAGGAAGAAGAAGAAGAGAAAGAGAAAAAGAAAAGGUAAAGAAAUAGUACAAAAUUUUUCUAAAUAGUGCAACAUUAGCCUAAAGAGUGUAAAAUUCAUUUCAAAAGAGUAUAAUUUUUAUAUCAAAUAAUGCAAUUUUUAUUAAAACAGUGCAAUUUUUUUAAAACAGUGUAAUCUUAUUUUAAGAGUGCAAUUUCAUCAUCUUCUUUCUUCUUCUAUAUUUUUUAAUCUUUUCGGCAGGAAAAAAAAUAUUUUUUAUUUUUAUUUUUUAUUAUUAUUCUUUUUUUUUUCUAUAAUCUUUUUUUGUCACCAUCUCUCCCUUGCUCUCUAUCGCAACCACCACGACGUCGUCGGAGGCAAUCUCGCCGCCUCCAACGACAUCUCGGUGUUCCAACACACGGUGGAGGAGAAGAGCCUGUGUCUUGACGUCGUCAUGUCCUAGUGGAGAAGGAGGGUCGCGGCGCGGCCUCAGCAGGGUCGGAGGUAAGGAGCACAGUGGUGCACGGGCGAGGGCGAGGGCGUGUGAGGCACAGGCAUGGCGGGCUGUUUCCGCCUCCACCUUUGCUAUCUUCUUCGGAGAGAGAAAAAAAGAACGAGAGAAAAAAAAAAAAGAGGAGAGAGAAAAAACAAUAAGAGUAUUUUGGUCAGUUUGCUAAAAAUCUAGCACGAAUCUACAAAAUCGAAAAAUGUGGCCCACUUUUGCAAAAGCGCAAAACUAGUGGAUUUUUUAUGCAAAUUGGUCUUCAACUUUUAUCUUUAUUCUAUUAAGAACAUUUCCGUUUAUUUAUAGUAAACAACUUUUUGACUCAGAAGUCUUAUUAGUUGGAAAGCAUUAAAAUAGUGAAACUCAUCAGUAUCAAGAUCAGUGUUAUGUUUAUCCAAAAGAUAGGGUGAAUUAGGAUGAUUAGAUCUAGAAUAAAUUGCAAGUUGGUCCUGAAACUAUGAGUCAGUAAGUAAUAUUGUUAUUUUAAAUUAAUUAAUUGGUAAUAAUUUUUUUUAUUGUGUAAUUAUAGUGAUGAUAAAUUUUAUAGCCAUUUUAUCUUUGCAACCUAUGCUAUUUUUUGUUGUAGUGGUGGUAGGGGCACAAUGAGGACAAGUUGAUGUACAUUUAGAUUUUUUGAAUUUAUUAUCUAGUUGAUAUCAUUUAUAAUAAUGACAUAUGUACUAUUUCUUUAUCAAAGAAUUAUUAGGCUAAAUUACAUAAAACCUUUAUGUCAAAAUCCGAAUUUUUACUUUUCUCUCCUGUCAUUUAAAAACCUACACUUUGCCCCCUUAUAAAAUAAAAAAUUUUCACAAGGGGGUAUAGGGUGAACUGUGAUGAUAAAAUAACCAUUUUGAUCCUCACCAUUUUCGUUUACUCCAUCAUCUUGCUCAUCCGCUGCCUCGAUCCGCCUCGAUCUUGCUCAUCCGCCGCCUCGCUCAAACUGAAUCGGAAUUGAAAUAAACUUCCCAUUGUCAGUAUUUAGUUUAGAUAGAUAUCAUAUAUGAAAUUAAAUUAAUAUACCAAUUUUAUCCUUAUAAUACAUUUUAGUUACUUUUAAUCAUUUUGCAUGCUUUAUUUAAAAUAUAAAUGAGCAACUUAUAAAAUAAUUAAUGAAACGUAAGACAGUUUCAUAUUUUUAUAAUUAUUUAAUUGAAAAUAAGCUAUUUAUUAUUAUGUUUUAUUAUAAUAAUUAUAUUGUAACAUAUAAAUUACAAAAUUUUAGAUGAUUCUAACAAAUAGAAUAGUUAACAAAAAAUAAUUAUUUCCUCAAAAAAAAAUGAAAAAAGUCAUAUUUUCAAUAUCAAUACUAUACCAAACUAAGAUUAUUAGCAACAAUAUAAAAUUAUCCAAAAUAAUAUAUCAUUAUUAAAAAUGUUAUUAAAAUUUCAAAUAAAAUUACUCAAAAUUAUGAUACUAUAAAUAAAAAUAAAUUUCUUAAUAUUUCUGCUGAAUCCAUUGGAAUUUGGAUUGACAAGAUAAUUUAAAAUUGAGUUUGGAACUAAAAACAUAGAAUUUUAUAAUUUAAAUUUAAAUUAAAAAUAAAAUAUUAAAAAUUUACAUCGAAAUUUUUAAAUGAUGUCAACAUUUUAGAUAUAUUUUUAUAAAAAAUUUAAAUUUGAAAUUGAGUGGAUAAUUCAAAAUAUAAAAGUAUAUUUCAAUUUAUUCAAAUUCAAACUUAAAAUUACAAUUUAAAUUUCAAUUUAAUCCAUCAAAUUUAAUUUAAAAUUUAAAUAAAAUUUAUAUAGUGUUCCGGAGGUUUGGAUCGGAUUGGCUACAGUAUUAGUAACUGGUCAACACAUUUGGAGAGUAUCGGACUGAGUCGGAGUCGUUUCUGCACGAAAUAGAUGCAGAAAUGGGCUUGGUGCACUCAAAUAAGCAAAACUGAAGUUUUGCCAGUUUCGGGCGCCCAGAACAUGGUUUGGGUCGCCCAGAACUGAAUGUAAAUUUAACUGAAAUUGGAAGCCAAUUUGGAUCCAAGGUUCCGGGUGCCCAGAAGUGGAUCCGAAUGUCCACGUUGGGAAUAUUGACUGUGCUGACACGUGUAUGUGGUAGGUGAGUUCCGUCGGACCAGAUUUUGGGCGCAGCAAACCGCAGGCGGAGGAGCCGAUGAGGAAGUGAGGUAUGGCCUCGAGGAUUCAGAUGCCCAGAACUUGAUUUCGGGCGCCCGAAAGUGGCCGCUUCUGCAGGAACAGCAGGUUAGCCUUCUCUGUUCCUAGGGAUUACUUUAUCCUUUCUUCUCUCUAUAAAUAGCUUGUGUUCGCCCCCUGAGAAGCUUUUUCACCUCUCCUUCACAGAGAAGUCUACAAUUACAUUCGAACCCCUCUAAAUUUCCCAAUUUGCACAAUUACACCUUGAGGAUUACUAUUUUAGCAAAAUUCCAGCAGCGACUUUCGGCGUUUUGGUUCGUGUGCGACGUAGGAAGCUCCUGCUGCGAAAUUUGGUUUGUUGGUUAGUAGACUUCUUGGAGAUUUUGUGGAGCCCAUUUUGACGGCAUUUGAUUGAGGUUAGCUUAGUCAAUUUGGCAUUUUUCUCUGCUCCUGAUGUUUUUUGAGCUGAAAUUGAGUUUUUAUUGGUUUUCUUGGAUCAAUUCUUGGAGAGAGCUAGAAUUUCAACCAAAGGAGGUUGCUCCACCUUUCCUUACUGGUUUUGAGAGUGUCCUUCACCUAAAUUGUGGAUUUGAAGUUUAAUAGGUGAGUUUUGACAUUGGAAUUGAAGGAAUUAAGCUUAAUGGCUGAUUUUUGGUACAUUGAUGGAAUUUUGGUGAUUUUGUGUGUAGGUCUUUGAUGUAGUGUUGUUGCUGGUUCAGAUUAAUCCCGGCUGAGUUCUCCUAGCUACUUUGCGACUUCUAGCCUUGUUGGCCUCGCGCUAGAGGUGGGUUAAUGUUAUGCUUACCGGAUUCUACGGAAUUACUCCUAAGUCUAGUUUGUUGUCGACAUGUAUUUUCCGUUUUGUAUAACAUUUUUAGUAGCUUGAUUCGUUGAUUUACUGUGUUCCUAAAUCUGAAUUGGAGCUUAGAAUAUUAGUUAAAUUAUACAUGUUGAACUUGAAAUUGACUUAGGAGAAAACUAGUGAUUCUAUACCGUCAUUUGCUAAAACUACCAGAUUUAGCUCUAGAAGCCAUAGUUUAUUUGUAUCGCCGCAGUUUGUGGGCGGUGGAUAUCCCGAUUAAUGUAGAAUGCAUUUAUGCUCGUGCUAGGAUGCCAAGCUUAAUUUUACAGCAGUGUUUAGGCUGUUCUGGACUGUCGGGUGCCGUUGAGGUUGACGAUGGACCCAGAUUGCUGUUUUUGCAUCAGAUUGUACUAAGGGCACGUGAGUUUGGUUGUUAGACCCUGUUUACCUGGAUUAUAGUCUGUGAGAGCCUGAUUGAGCUCGGCAGAGAUACGCUUACAUACUCGGUUCGGUAGCGCCCACUAGUGCCACUCCGGAGUCGGGCUUAGUGCGUUUGCGUUGGUGUCGUUGUGUCCUAAUUGGACUCGCUCUCCACUGACUACCCGGAGUGGUGGUUGUUAGUGUAGUUUCGAUAGGCGGGACGAGUGUAUUCACAGUCCCUAGUGAGAUUGGGUCAGAGAUUGCAUUGUUCUACAAAUAGUUAGUGUUGGAUCAUGAUAGUAUAGUGAUAUAUAGCUGUAGAUUGUUUCCAGUUUCUUUACUAUCAUUGAACAUACCUUCUGUAGACUUAGUGGGUGAGCCGUUGAGGUCGGUAACAGUACCCACUGAGGACUACUUCUUUUUGCAGUAGUUCUCUGUCACUCCCCGGGAGCCAGUGGAAGCCCGCCCGGCGCAUCCCCAGUCCCGUCAUAUGUCUGAAACUGUAAGGACUGAGAUUUUGACAGUGCAACUAAACUCUCUGUUGACGAUGUUCCUGUGUGUAAUUUAAUUACAUAAGUACUCGUUAAGUUUCAGAAGAAAAUGAGCUAAAACGAAGAAGUUACGCGAUUAUUAGUUUUCACUUAAGUGAAUACUAACUCCAGUUUUUCGGAGAAGCCACGGAGUAGAGUUGGCUUUCGGCGCGUAUCGGACUCCGUUCAUAGCGAUCCAAUAGCUCGUUUCGAUCGGUCCAGCUAUUCUGGAACCAAUGGCACUGACGGAUUUCAGAUCCGAUGCACGAUUUUUCAGAAAAUAGAGUUUUAACAAAAAGAGGGUUUUCGCUCUUUGCUAUUCGUGCAUUUUAAAACUCCUCGUGCUUUGUACAAGUGAUCUGGAGAUGGGUGAGAGAUGUUUCAAGUACCUACUAGUGGUAGGGAAAUCAAAUACGGGUUUGAAUUAAAGGAUUUCAGGUUUCCACCAAGGCCUAUGCAUGAUAUAUGGAUUAGUUGGUGAGAGGUUGGAUUUUGUCGCAAAUCGGCAAGUAAAUCGGAUGAAACGAAAUCGUAGUUUCGAUGUCCUCGUCGUGCUGAACGCGAUGGCUCUAUCGGAUUGAAAAUCCGACGGAUGGAUUUUCGGGAAACGCGAAAUGUUCGCUAAGGGGUCGAAGGUGGCAAAUCGGAAACUUCGCAAAAGUCAUUGUAUUUUAUGUACCAAAUCGCUUGAGAUCGAAUGUGGAGGUGCGUAUGUGCAAUAUUUACCUACUGUAAAGCACUGGGUUAGAAAUAUAUAACUUCGGGGGAGCUAUCUGCAAUUGUACACUAGGUAUAUAAGGUGCAUCUAGGGUUUCCAUGCAUGAAACCCUAGAUUUAGCCGACCUAGUUCCCUCAACUAACCCUAGCCGACCUCAGAUAGCCCUGCCCUAGCCAUGCUCGCACCCCGGCCGCCGGCAGGUUCCCCCCGAUCGCCGGAAAACUAGAACCCGGCACCUCCUCCAUCCUUCUCUCUCAACCAUCCAUCAACCUCCUCAUUUCUAUCCAAGGGCAACCCAGGAGUGUUCAUCACGGUCGGCACCAACUCUGGCAGCCGCCCGCGACCUCCGCCGUCCGCCGUGCCGCCGCCGCCGUCUCCCACGCGCCGCCGUCGCGGCCUGGACCAUCAUACGGGCCGAGCUGAGCCUUCGUGGCCUCCGCGCGUCGCCCCGCCUAUGGUGGGGACACCACUCCCCCUCGGCCUCCGCCGCGCGUUCGUCGCCGCCCCGACCUCCUCCGGCCGCCGCCGCGCCGCCGGGAAGAUCGAACCCGAGAGGGAGUAGGUGGAGUCGAUCUCCUCCGCCGCCCACGGUUGCCUCCCGCCGCCGGCCAGCACCAUCCCCGACCUCUCGGACCGACUGCUUCCAUCUCCGGCCGGACCGCCCGCCUCCCGGCCGUGGCGCCAACCCUACUCCCCCCUCACUGUGAGUGUCCAUUUAUGAAUUCCAGCACUGUUUUCCCACUUUCCGGUAACUAUUCCGGCAAUCCGAAUGGUCUUUUUUGACCUCGGAAAGUGAGCACGAUGAUCCUUGGGUCGUGCUGAACGUCGUGCUCACUUCCGUCGAGACCUACGAUGCUUGGUUGCUCGGCAACCGCGAUCUUCCUGCAGUGCGCGCUGCUUCGCUGACUACGCGUCGCUUGUGCGCGCACCGCAGUCGCCGAAUGUGCACCGCAGUCGGUAUGCCCUGAGGGGUGGGAUUGUUCGGUUAGUUGCCGACGGAUGAUUAUACUUUACUCAUAUCCUAUACUUGUGACAUGAUUGGUCGAGUUUCAUAUCCUGUACUUGUGACGUGAUUGGUCGAGUUUCAUAUCCUAGUUGAUCUGAGUGGUCAGUCCUUGUGGUUCAUUGAGCAGUAUUUGCAUAUGUUUGAGAGGAUGUCGAUGUUGUCCCAUCCUAGUUGGCCUGAGUGGUCGGUUCUUGUGCUUCUUUACAGUUGACGACCUAUGCGGUCGAUGGGCCCUGGGGGGCAGGAUUGUCGGCUGGUUGCCGACGGUUGAUCGCCCGAUACUCGUCGCAUUUCACGAACACCGGCGGUCUGAUCCACCGCAAUGAGUGUUUUUUUCCGGAAAAGUGAUUGAAUGGUGACAACCCGUGAGCCCUAGAGGGGUUAUAUGCACUGGAGAGUAUAGUGGCACUGGCUUGAGGUCUGCGGUGCUGACCAAGAGAGCAUUGGUUUCAGAUUGGGUACUUUUGGACUUCUUGACCGGUUGACGCAUAUGUCUAUAGUAGCAGUCGUUGCAUGCAUACUUACAGUUCUUACUUUAUAGUUGUCUUACUACUAUAGUAGAUAUUCAUGUAUGCUUUCUGUUCCAGUUACAGUAGCGGUAGCCGUUAUUCAGUCUAGUUCCUACUUUCUUUCAGUUUAUUGCUACUGUAUUCAGUAUAUCUGCUCAUCACCUUAUACAUCUCUUUCGUUUAUUAUUGUUCCUACUAUAUUUUCACUAACCGGUGUUGUUGUAUAGCUCUUCCUGAUCCGGUGAGUACUCCUCGCCUUCUUCGGCUUGCGGUACCCACUGGGAGGGGAGACAUGUUUACAUGUUCUCACCUCCCCCACUAUUUUUCAGGUAUCGCGGGCGGUGAGGGUUGAGACUGGACGCGAGAUACGUAGCGGUCGAUAGAGCUUCCGACCCAGGUUAUUCGGUUUAGUUCUACCCUUACUAUUAUGUUGAUAUAGCUUAGAUAGUUUAUAUGGUUCAGUAUAUUUUAUUACAUUUGAAAAUAUGGGUUUUCAUGAAUGUAAUAAAUGGAUUUGUGAAUUUUGUGAGAUGGAAAGGUUUUCUACCCCUCGUGGUAGUGUUUUUAAAGAAUAAAGGUUUCUGUAUAGGAACAGCUUUCAAAAGAAUUUUCUGUAGAUUUAUGUUUAAAUAUUAAAUGCAAAUCUGUGAUGUAAAUGGUGAAUGUAUGAAUGAAUAAUUAUUUCUAUAUUCACUUAGAUGUGGUUGUAUCCUGUUUGUACCGUUGUACUUGUGCGACGCCGUGCAAAUACAGGGGA